UCGGGAGUCUUGGCGGCGGCCCCGCCCCCGUCGCCAUGGGAACAGCCGCGGCGGCUCCGGCUGCACCUCCUCCGUCUCCUCGGGCAGGGCAGGCAGGGCCAGCGGAGCCGGGGUUGAGCGCACGGAGACGCGGGGAGAGCGAAGAGGAGGAGCGGAGAGGAGCUGGGUUGAGGGAGCGCACCGAGCCGCCGUCACCCCCAGCCCUGGGUCUCUGUGCCAGUCCGGUCCCGGUCGUGGCCCCAGAGGGGGAGGCGGCCAGACAGGCGAUGUGAGCUGCCCGUGGAGCCAUGAGCUCCGCCUGGACUCCAGACUACGAGGCGCUGUCCCCGGCAGGGGCUCCAGGGCCGGGGGGGUCCGGGGGGUCCGCGGGGCUGGACGCUGAGCAGCGAACGGUCUUCGCCUUUGUUCUCUUCCUGCUGCUGUUCCUGGUGCUGCUCAUGGUGCGCUGCGUCCGCAUCCUCCUGGACCCCUACAGCCGCAUGCCUGCCUCGAGCUGGACCGACCACAAGGAGGCACUAGAGAGGGGCCAGUUCGACUAUGCGUUGGUGUGAAGGCAGAGCGGAGGGGUCCCGCGCCUCCCGGCCCGGCCCCGAAAUCCCACCCUCUCUCUCCUCCCUGCCCCGGCAGCCUCCCCCGCCCCCAGGCUGGUCUAGAAUCCACGGCCCAGAGCCGCCUCCGUUCUCGCACCCCAGCCUGGGCUAGGGCUUCCCAAACUCACGCCCUGUCACUUCACUGCAUCCAUGAACCCCCCCGGGCCGAACCUCAGGCUUUCCUUGCCCAGAUCCCCCGGUUCCCACCUGGCCUGGCCGGGGACGCGCGGUCCAGGAGCUCUCCCAUUCCCCUGGCCCCAAACCUAGUCUAGGCCUCCCUUUUCCAACCCAGAUUGCAUCUCCAGCCCGGAACCAGAAUCCCGGGCUUCUCCUGACUGACUCCUGCUUCCAAGCUCCCGCAGCCCCCGCCCGAGGCCACAAGAUGAGCGGGCCCAAGGUCUGGCAGUUGAUGUUUUUCAGAGUGGAGUGGCCCAUUCUCCCCACCCACUUCCAUCAGGAAAGCACUAGAGUGAGCAAGCUCUGGGAGGCAGGUCCCCUGCCCCUGGGCUUUGGGGAGCUCUUCAGGCCGGGAAUGGGGGCUGCUCGUGGGCCUCUUACCCUGCACCUGCGCUGCCCGCUCCCUAGUGAUGGAUAGUCCAAGCUCUGGAUGCUGCAACCUCCUCCUUUUCCUCUGCCCGUCUGACCUCCCGGCUUCCCCUUCCCUUAUGACAGCUGUCUGGCCAUUCUCCCAGAGCACUCAGGACUGACGCCCCUUCCCAAGCCUGGGACUGCAAAAUCCAGUUACUCAACCCCCCCCCCCCUAGGGAUCAUCUUCCAGAUUGAGAAAUUCAACCAACCCACUCCCCUUCCCCACUCCCAGCCCUCUGGCCCCUCAAUGCACCAAGCAUUUGGUAAGCACCAAGCCUCUUUUUCCAAGGGUUGACCUCCUGGUCAAGGGGAUCCUGACUGAAGGGCUUCAUCAAGGCCCUGGGGGCAGUGAGGGGAGUAUGUUUGUGAAGGAUACAAUGGAACCCAUCUCAACACUUCUUGAAUGUCUACCGAGUGAAGGGCAGCAGGUGGCUCAAACAGACUUAGUGAUGGGUUUCUUUGACAGGGCUCUAGCUAGCUGCAGGUCAGCCCCGACCCCUUAUUAGCUACCCUCCCUCCCCGCCUUUCCCCCAUCAUGGAGGGGAUUGUCAGCUGAGAGCUGAUAGAAUUGUGGCCAAUCUGCCCUCUGUGACCCCACCGCACUCUCCUCACGUGACUGUGGUAACCUCUAAGCCUGUCUCCCCAGCCCUAACCAGGGGCCUUCUGCCCUCCCAGACCCCACAGGCUGACUUGUUCUCCACCUCUGUGCCUUCAUUCCUCCCAUUUCCCCGCCUAGAAUGGCACCCCCAACUCCUUGGCCCCCUGAUCUUUUUCCUUAUGCUAUCCUUAACACAUUUCCUCCUUUUGCUUUGCUGUCUGUCUCCCCCCCCCCCAAAAGCAUGGAAGCUUAUGAAGGACACGGGGGCUUCUUCCCCCUGGAUUACCAUGAGGGUUUUUCAUUCGAGGCCGGUGCCUGGCCAGCUCCCCGUCACCCCUGCUCCGCCCCGCAGGAUUACCCAGUUCCCACAAGUGCUGAGCCUGCACCCACCCGGCUGGGCUCCAGGACCAAAGCAGCUCCCCCAGACUUCCUGCCUGAGCUUAAGCUAGCAGAGGCACCAGGACGGGCCCAACCCAGGCCAGGGGAAGGGGAGGGAGGCUGGGCAGUGGACAGAGGCAACACCGCAGCGACUGUAGCUCAGGCCCAAUAAUAAACAACAAUCACCCUGUCCUGAAUGUGAGUGGUUUUUGUGAUGAGGUGGGGGAAAAGUUUCAAGGUGAAUGAGAGUAGCAGGUUCAAGUCUCAGCUCUCUAGUUGGGUGUCCUUGGGCAUAAACCUCCCACUCCCUGGGGCUGUUGCCCCGCUAUAAAAUGGGGAGGGAGCAGGGGCUGGGCUGGACGUCUAGGGCACUGUCCCAUUUCGGACAUUCGGUGGUUCUGUCCUCCUGAUCCUGGCCAUGCUGAUCAACUACUUCACAUGCUGCUCUCGCCACCACCAGACUCCUCCCCCGCCCCGCCAUCCCUGUGCCCUUCCAAAACCAGGACUGGGUCACACAGUCCCGUUCCUCCACCCCAGCCCCUCCUGUGGAUGCUGUGGCAGAGUCGGAGGGGCUCAGAAGGCCUCUUAGUGCCCCUGUCCUCCCCCUCUCCUCCUGCCCUCGGCCCCACCAUGGCUCACUCCCAACAGCACCUCUUCCAGUAACAUUUUCUCAAAUUCACCUUAAACCCCAGUCCCAUCUGCUUCCCCUCCCCCAAUAAACACCUUUGUACCCUCAUUUCCAUGAGAUGUUGUGUUAAAGGCCUGCUAAACUCGAAGUGGGG
rnacentral:lncRNA from 1 species